GUGCCAGCAGCCGCGGUAAGACGAACCGUGCAAACGUUACUCGGAUUCACUGGGCUUAAAGGGCGCGUAGGCUGUUCGUUAAGUCGUGGGUGAAAUCUUUCGGCUCAACCGGAAAAUUGCCCCCGAUACUGGCGAGCUCGAGGGAGGUAGGGGCAGCGGGAACUGCCAGUGGAGCGGUGAAAUGCGUUGAUAUUGGCAGGAACGCCGGUGGCGAAAGCGCGCUGCUGGAUCUCUCCUGACGCUGAGUGCGCGAAAGCUAGGGGAGCAAACGGGAUUAGAUACCCUCGUAGUCC
rnacentral:rRNA from 1 species